UAUAACAGCGUCAACUGGUGUUCUGUGUAACAUCUUUUCUAGGUGGUGUAAAAUGGCUGUUGGGGCAGCAUUUGGAGGUGGUUUGAGUUUGCCCCUUGGAAUUACAAACUUUCACAGGCUGGAAAUUCAAUUCUACCAGAGGAAUACGAUCCGAACAGAAAGUAACAUAAGAAAUGUAAUGUUGAAAUAGAUACUCUCUGGAAAGUUUCUGUGAAUUGCAAAAGACUGAGUGAAAAUUUGAA